rnacentral:rRNA from 1 species
UCCAUGAUCCUAUGCUGCCGAGAAAAGCCUCUAGCGAGCUGGUACAUGGCCCGUACCCCAAACCGACACAGGUGGUCAGGUAGAGAAUACUAAGGCGAUCGAGAGAACUGUGGUUAAGGAACUCGGCAAAAUGCCCCCGUAACUUCGGGAGAAGGGGGACCAGUCCUGGUGACGACAUUUACUGUCUGAGCUGGGGUUGGUCGCAGAGACCAGAGAGAAGCGACUGUUUACUAAAAACACAGGUCCGUGCGAAGUCGUAAGACGAUGUAUACGGACUGACGCCUCCCCGGUGCUGGAAGGUUAAGAGGACCGGUCAGCCACUUCGGUGGCGAAGCUGAGAAUUUAAGCCCCAGUAAACGGCGGUGGUAACUAUAACCAUCCUAAGGUAGCGAAAUUCCUUGUCGGGUAAGUUCCGACCUGCACGAAUGGCGUAACGACUUCUCUGCUGUCUCAACCACAGACUCGGCGAAAUUGCAGUACGAGUAAAGAUGCUCGUUACGCGCGGCAGGACGAAAAGACCCCGGGACCUUCACUAUAGCUUGGUAUUGGUGUUCGGUUCGGUUUGUGUAGGAUAGGUGGGAGACUGUGAAACUCGCACGCCAGUGUGGGUGGAGUCAUUGUUGAAAUACCACUCUGACCGUAUUGGACAUCUAACCUCGGACCAUGAUCUGGUUCAGGGACAGUGCCUGGUGGGUAGUUUAACUGGGGCGGUUGCCUCCCAAAAAGUAACGGAGGCGCCCAAAGGUUCCCUCAGCCUGGUUGGCAAUCAGGUGUUGAGUGUAAGUGCACAAGGGAGCUUGACUGUGAGACGUACAUGUCGAGCAGGGACGAAAGUCGGGACUAGUGAUCCGGCACCGGCAAGUGGAAGCGGUGUCGCUCAACGGAUAAAAGGUACCCCGGGGAUAACAGGCUGAUCUUCCCCAAGAGUCCAUAUCGACGGGAUGGUUUGGCACCUCGAUGUCGGCUCGUCGCAUCCUGGGGCUGGAGUAGGUCCCAAGGGUUGGGCUGUUCGCCCAUUAAAGCGGCACGCGAGCUGGGUUUAGAACGUCGUGAGACAGUUCGGUCUCUAUCCGCCGCGCGCGUAAGAAACUUGAGGAAACCUGUCCCUAGUACGAGAGGACCGGGACGGACGAACCUCUGGUGUGCCAGUUGUUCCACCAGGAGCACCGCUGGUUUGCUACGUUCGGAAGGGAUAACCGCUGAAAGCAUCUAAGCGGGAAGCCUGUUCCAAGAUGAGGUUUCUCACCACCUAGCGUGGUUAAGGCCCCCCACAGACCAUGGGGUUGAUAGGCCAGAACUGUAAGCACAGCAAUGUGUUCAGGUGACUGGUACUAAUCGGCCGAGGACUUC